GUGGGAAAUCAAGAGAUCACUGAUAGCAUGUCCUUCAGUAACCUACAAACAAGAGAGCUUCAUGCCUAGUUAGCAAGGAGAGUUACCUAAACUAGGAAGUUUCCAUCUGCAGGACUGGAAUAAGCUUCCCCUUCCUCUCCUGGCCUCAUGGACAGAGUGGCUUCAAGUGUGUUGCCCCUCUUUCACCCCAACCCCCCAUCAACCGAGGAUAGGCAUCCUACUACUAGACCCCAUCUAGUUGGUCUGUGGUACUCGUCCUAGGCACAAACAUUGCUAUGGUAGCUACUAUUUGCUGCUGGAUCUGCCUGAAGGGGCUUCUUUCUUCAUCACUUUGGGGACUAUCACCUCAUUCCUUUUUUUCUUCCCAACCUGGAUGGCAUUGCAAAGUGAAGAACAUACUGUCAGCGCUAUAGAAAGACUAAGGAAUGCCCUCAGAUGUCCAAUUAACGCACAAGUCCAAACCACCUGAUGUCAUCAUUGGUCUCCCUUGAAAAUGAAGGAUGAACCAUGACAACAAAUCAAAAUGAGCAAAAUGAGACUCAGAACUAUAAGGUGAUGACCACAUACAUAAGUCACAGACUGCCUGAAAUUGAAUCCAGUAUUUCUCUUAGAUGAUGGCAACGAGGAAUGCUGCGAGAAGAAGCCUGAACAAAGCCACUCAGAGUUACAAGGCUCAACAGUGAACAUUCACAAGUUUCAUAGUAAAUGCUUAAGGCAUGAAACAAACCAGGAAUUCCCCCACCC